rnacentral:rRNA from 1 species
UACGUAGGGCGCAAGCGUUAUCCGGAAUUAUUGGGCGUAAAGAGCUCGUAGGCGGUUUGUCGCGUCUGCCGUGAAAGUCCGGGGCUCAACUCCGGAUCUGCGGUGGGUACGGGCAGACUAGAGUGAUGUAGGGGAGACUGGAAUUCCUGGUGUAGCGGUGAAAUGCGCAGAUAUCAGGAGGAACACCGGUGGCGAAGGCGGGUCUCUGGGCAGUAACUGACGCUGAGGAGCGAAAGCGUGGGGAACGAACAGG